CUUUGAUGAAUACAUGAAUUUGGUGCUGGAUGAUGCUGAAGAAGUCAAUGUUAAGAAGAAGAGCAGAAAAUCUUUAGGGAGGAUUGUUCUUAAGGGAGACAACAUAACUCUGAUGAUGAACUCUGGAAAGUGAUGAUGAUUCCAGCAAUUGUGUAAAUUGGCAUUAUGAUGCCUUUCCAAUCACCUGGCAGCCUAGCAUCUCUGUUUA